CCGGGUGCCGGUGCCAUUCGAAAUCAAAGCUGUGCCAUAAAGUGCUCUUCCUGCGGGCUGCGCCGGCAGCCGCAAAACUCUAUCUGAAAGCGAGGACUCCGACCUGUCCGAGUCGGAUGGAGAUGAACUACCAUAUCAGGGAAACAUUUCAGCAGGCGAGUCGGACAGCGAUACAGAUUCUGGAUUAUCUACACUUCCCACAAGGUCCAGCCGCAAUAACAAUCAAAACCGAAUUGUGUGGAAGCAUGGUCAUCUGAGUAUCGACGAGUCUGAGUUGAUGUUCAUUGGUAACAGCUAUUUGCCUUCGUCAGUUCUGGAGCUGGAAACGGCAAUCUCCAGUGCAAAAAGCAAAGCGCUGGUCCUCCGUUAAAAAGGGUUUCACGGAUAUCGACAGUCCCGAUAUUGUACAAACGUACAACAAGCACAUGGGAGCUGCAGACCUCCUUGACUCUCUCCUUGGCCUCUACCGUAUCCACAUAAGGUCAAAGAAAUGGUACUUCAGAAUCUUCACACAGAUGCUUGAUCUCUCAGUUGUAGCCGGGUGGCUUUUUUACCGAAGGGCACAGGCCCAGCUUGAGAAUCAAGAGGUCCUUGCACUUGCAGAAUUCAAAACAGAAGUUUCCGAAAGCCUGGCCCGUCAGAACAAGUCUAUACCCAACAAGAGACCUGUAAGGCCAUCCUACCACAACCCUCAAGCACAGCCCCAAUCGAAGAAUGCUCGUGGACCAGCGGAAAGUGCACCUGGUAAAGGUGACCGAACCGAUAAAGUGGCCCACUGGCCAGAGUUUUACGAUAAAAGUCAAAGAUUGAAGCAUAUGUUGUGUUAAAAAAAAUGUCCGUGCGUUGUUCCAAGUGCAAGGUUCACCUGUGUUUGAAUGAUAGAAAUAACUGUUUCGUGUCUUUUCACACAGCAUAGAGAACGCUGAUUUAACGCUACGUACCAAGAAUGGCGUCUCAUGUGCAUAG